rnacentral:rRNA from 1 species
UACGUAGGGUGCGAGCGUUAAUCGGAAUUACUGGGCGUAAAGCGUGCGCAGGCGGUUCGUUGUGUCGGUGGUGAAAUCCCCGGGCUUAACCUGGGAAUGGCCAUGGAAACUGGCGAACUGGAGUGCGGCAGAGGGGGGUGGAAUCCGCGUGUAGCAGUGAAAUGCGUAGAUAUUCGCAAGAACACCAGUGGCGAAGGCGGCUCACUGGCCCGAUACUGACGCUGAGGUGCGAAAGCGUGGGGAGCAAACAGG